rnacentral:tmRNA from 1 species
GACCUUGCGCCCCGUGCAGGGGCCCCCUAUAUUCGGCCUGUUCGCGGGCAACCGGGAACUAUGGCGAUAAACGCGCGCAGAAUAGGCGGAUCGGACCCGGGGGCGGUACCCGGCGGCUCCACCAGACACCCGAUCGUUGCGGGGGAACGGGGCCGAAACAGGAUCGACGGACGUUCAAAGGCGUUUGCUUUCGCUCGGUGAGCUACCACCGUCAUCGGUGCAAAAGUACAGUUGCCAACGACAACCGUGCUCCGGUGGCUCUGGCUGCGUAAGCAGCUCGGGUAACCGAAAAUCAAGUCCUUGGGCUUUGCCGUCCAGGGCGGGGUUCGCAGGUACCUGGCAACAGAAACCUGCACC